CCUACGGGAGGCAGCAGUGGGGAAUUUUGCACAAUGCCCGAAAGCCUGAUGCAGCGACGCCGCGUGAGGGAUGACGGCCUUCGGGUUGUAAACCUCUUUCAGCAGGGAAGAAGCGAAAGUGACGGUACCUGCAGAAGAAGCACCGGCUAACUACGUGCCAGCAGCCGCGGUAAU
rnacentral:rRNA from 1 species